CUGCUGCCUUCCGUAGGAGUUUGGACCGUGUCUCAGUUCCAAUGUGGGGGACCUUCCUCUCAGAACCCCUACUGAUCGUCGCCCCGGUGGGCCGUUACCCCGCCGGCAAGCUAAUCAGACGCAUCCCCAUCCUUUACCGGCCGAAGCCUUUGGUCAUGAAAAUAUGCAUCAACAUGACAACAUACGGUAUUAAUCCGCCUUUCGACGGGCUGUCCCAUAGUAAAGGGCAGGUUGGAUACGCGUUACUCACCCGUGCGCCGGUCGCCA
rnacentral:rRNA from 1 species